rnacentral:rRNA from 1 species
CGUACGAUACGAGUUUGAUCUGGCUCAGAACGAACGCUGGCGGCAGGCUUAACACAUGCAAGUCGAACGGUUGUAGCAAUACAGCAGUGGCAGACGGGUGAGUAACACGUGGGAACCUUCCUAGGGGUACGGAACAACUCAGGGAAACUUGAGCUAAUACCGUAUACGUCCGUGAGGAGAAAGAUUUAUCGCCCUUAGACGGGCCCGCGUCGGAUUAGCUAGUUGGUGGGGUAACGGCCUACCAAGGCGACGAUCCGUAGCUGAUCUUAGAGGAUGAUCAGCCACACUGGGACUGAGACACGGCCCAGACUCCUACGGGAGGCAGCAGUGGGGAAUCUUGGACAAUGGGCGCAAGCCUGAUCCAGCCAUGCCGCGUGAGUGAAGAAGGUCUUCGGAUUGUAAAGCUCUCUUACCAGGGACGAUAAUGACGGUACCUGGAGAAUAAGCCCCGGCAAACUUCGUG